UUAGCCAGGAUCCUAUUUUACCAAGGAAAGAAUCAUCUGUUGAGUAUUAUCAUAGUUUUUAGAGCUGGAAAGGUUCCUAGAUCUAGUCCAAAACACUAAUUUUAUAGAUGAAGAAACUGAGGCUCAGAAAGCUGAAAAAGCAGUAUAUUUGUACUGUAACAGGUUUCAGAGAAACAUCUCUACUAUUCAUCAUUUUGCCCGUUAGCCUUAAUGUACUACAGACUUUUGGGACUAUAUUUUUAUUUUUAAUAUUUAAAAAAUCAUUAAGGUAGAAAGUGAUUUGUAUGCUUAUCACUUUAAGCAAAAAGAGUGAGGUUGUCAGUGGGCUUGAUAAACAGUUUUAAAGAACACAGUAGCUAGAAGAUUGUGGAAUAAAUAACUGAGAACGAGAUGUCACAUCUCGACUGCAUCUGUUUUUUAUCUGCUCGAAGACACUUUGAGGAAAUCUCGGAAAGGAGCUUUCUCUUUAUUGGCCUAUUUCAUGGCACACCACAGACUUCGAAGAAUUAAAAUUGCAGGUCACCCAAAGGGCAAUGCAAAAGCACAUGGUGCCUGUGAGUAUGCUACAACAUAUUACGAAUGAAGAACGGCUCUGGAGGAGUGGCGCCAGAAAAACCAUCUGAAAGAUGCGUGGCCCCCAAAAGAGGGGCUGGGACCUCCUUAAUCCACAACUUCACAGAAUCUGAGUUCCAGAGGACCUCAAAAGAUAUGUCAUUCAAAUGGAUGUCUGAGUUGGACUUGAUGGCCUUGAAGUUCCCUUUAAAGUUUUGAGAUUGGUUCUAUAAUUUCCCAGAUGCUAUCACAAUCCAAAAGAAUACUGGUAAUUUGACCGGUAUGUGUCAAAAAACCCCACAAGAUUUCUAAAAUCUUAAAGAAUUGAAUAUCAUUGUCUAAAAGAAUGGUUACAAUCGUGGUCAUAACCCAAACGAAGCAACCAAUAAAAAGAUUCAUAUUUCUUUUGAAAUCA